rnacentral:lncRNA from 1 species
UCCAAGUAUAGAAAUGGAGAACAUCAUUAAAUGCCACUGGGAAAUGAUUGUGAGACAUUUAAAGGAGCUACAGUGCAGAGUAGUAGUCAGGAACUAAAUAUAUUUUAUAUUAUAUUAUUAUGAUAUAUAAUAUAAUAAUAUAUUAUAACAUAUUAUAUAUUAUAUUAUUAUUAUUAUUAUUUUAUAUUAUAUUUUAGCCAUAUCCUUGAUUGUCACAAGGUGGAGAAGACAUAAGGACUACCUUUCCAUGGAAGCAGGCAUGCAAGGGGAGGCAAAUUUCAUCACAGAAGGCUGAAUCUACUGUGGUAGAGAUGUUUUGAACACAGAGAAUCAGCCACUGGAUCUAGUAGUAUCUAAGGCAUCCUGGAUAAGCAGAACUUGUUUCUAUGCAAUGGGAGAGGUGAAGCCUUGAAAAAAGUGAUUUUAAUUUUAAAAGCAAGUAGCAAUAACAAUGUCAGAUAGCUUGGGGAUAGGGAGUACAACUAUUUCAUAUUAGAAAUUUUGUACAGAAGAAAUUGGGAGUUGCAAUAGGCCCACACAUGACUUUCCUUAUCAUACAUCAGUCAUGAAUAGAUGAGCUCAUGGGGCUACUGAAUUUCUGAUUGAUGGUAUAUGCUAGGAGAGUGGGAAUCAAUGUACCCACUGCUGUACCCAUCGAACUCCAUUGGAUAGCUCCAAACACACAGCUGGUCCUGGUUAAAUUCAUUCAGUGGUACAAAAGAACAUGAAUAGGAAUAUUGUCACAUGAACACACACAGACACACACACAUGUGCACACAAUCACACAGGGUGGGGGAAUUGGACAGGACUGUUAGGGGAAAUGGAGAAGGAUGAUGGUGACAGUGGUCAGUAUCUACUAUCUACCUGUGUAACAUUGUCUAAAAACAGGGAGAACUUUUCUUCUCAGAAAAAAAAAGCAUAAAGAAAUACAAAACAGCAACAACAACAAAAAUAAACAAUCAAAGGAAGCAAGCAAAAGAAUGUUUUUUAACCAUGGAAUGACAAAAUUGGAAAAAAUUACAGAAAAUUUUUAAAGUCUCUUGAAUUGGCAUAAAAGCUAUAUCAAGAUACUGUUCAUUUUCAACUAGAGGGAAAAAGCUCUCUAAUGUGCGAAUUUGUUUAUGAUGAACAGUUACUAACAUCUGUCAUGAUGGUAGUGCUAUUGACUUUAAAAUCAUCUUCUAUGCUGUAUUUUAACUAUUAUUUUCUUCUAGUAACUAAGAAAACCAUUUUUCACUACUAUCUCUGAAUACUUAAUGUAAAAUGCAUACAAGGUACCAUACCACACAAGAAAAGACCCACUGAACUGAACAAUCACUAAAACUGUCUUUUUCCCUCAGGUUUCAGACCAUUAAUAAUGAAUGCUUCAAUUAUAAUAAGUUCAUUAAGUUCAUUUAUGGUAACAUUUCUGAUAAGAAAAGAAAAAACACAACCAGGUAGAGUACAUUCAUUAUUAUUGCAAAUAGAGUCCAGUUGUAAAGAAGAAAGUGCCCCAUGACUUCAACAAGCAAUUCAAUAAAACAUAAUAGUUAAAAUGAUAAUAUACUAAAAGGGCAGACAAGACCCACUGAAGUUAUACAGCUACAGUAGUCUUGAAGACAGGCUGAUAUCCUAAAUUCAAAUUUAUGAUAAGUGGAGAGGCAAACUUUGGGAAGUUAUUAUGUGUAAGGGCAGAACCCUCAUGAGUGGGCUUUGCAACGAGACUAUUGAGUGACCCCUUUUCUCUUCUGUCAUAUUAGAACAAAGCCAUAUGUAAGGAGAGAGGCCCUUGUCACAAAUGAGAUCCUAUGGUGUCCUGACCUUAGACUUUGUGGCCUCAAAGACUGUGAGAAACAUAUUCCGGUGCAUUAUAAGCCAGCUAGACUAUGAAAGUCCUUUUAAGCUUGGCUAAAGAAAACAGGUAAAAACAAAAAACUGUAAAGUGAGAUAUGUGAAUCACCUGGUUGAGACAUAUGUAACCCCACUGGUCACUAAGACAUAGAUGUGGUAAGAUGGGCAUCCCUCUACUACCUUACUGCAACAUAUGUAUGCCUUCGGAAGCAGCAUGAUAAGUCAAAGAGGACAGCCUUUCUUGUAAAUGACAGAUGAUCUAUUCAGGGUAUGGGAGUACAUGUGUUCACAUUCUAGAAUCUCCAAGUCAGCUCUUAAGAUACAUUUGUAAUACAAUUUAAGCUAAUUAAGCUUUUAUGAUUAUAGACAGUCAACUGCAUGAUAUUUGCAGUCAAUAUGUGGAAGCCUGCAUUAAUUAG